CCUAGCCCUCACCUCUCUCGCCAGAUACUGAGUCCACCAGUGUUUUGAUCUUGGACUUUCCCGCCUCCAGAACUGUGAGAAAUAAAUUUCUGCUAAGCCAUCCAUUUUCAUUAUAGCAGCCCGAGCAAGCUAAGACACCAGUCUUAUAAAUGUUUACGUGAGUACGAAGACCUCCUAGGACCUAGCACUUUAAGGACUUCACACUACUGCCUCUCCCAGUCUUGCCAUGAGAGUCCUCGAUGGGUACACAGCAGCAUUGAUAUCAGAAGCCAAACUAAAGGUGGUGGUUUGGAGCACCCACUGAGCCAGGCCCCUGUCCUAAGCAUUUUGCAUCUGUUAAUUCACUGACUCCUAUAAGGAGAGGAGACUGGCCCAGAGAGGCUCAGGGACUUGUUCCAGGUCACACAGCUGAAAGUGACAGAUUCUGUGAUUCCAAACACUGCCUGUGCCUUUAAGUACUCCACACGACUGCCUCUCCCAAACUUGCCACAAGGCAGCCAGGGAGGAAGCCUCACGACUGUUCAGCCAAGAAGGAAAGAGGAGACUAAGAUGGACCCAACAUCUAGAGAAGAGAAGGUGGAAGCAGAGGCAGAAGUGAGAAGUGGGAAGCAGCAAGUGGGAAGGGAAGCCCAGCUUUCCAGUUCUGGCAGUGCAGAGCACUAGAACAGUAGACGGAGCUUUUACAAAUGAAACGCCUGAACCUUACCGUAGCCAAUCAAAUUGGAAUUUCUGGGAGUAGAGCUGGGUACGAGUGUUUUUGGAAACACCCCGGAUGAGUGUGAUGUUCCACGAAGGUCAAGAACCACCAUUUAAGAGCAGUGGUUCUCAAACUUUGGCGUGCCUCUGAACCCCCUGAAGAGUUUGGUAAAUACAGGACGCCAGACCCCACCUGCAGAGUCUCCCACCCAGCAGGUCUGAAUGGGGCCUAUAUUCAUUUCCUGUGGCUGCUGUAACAAAUCACCACAAACUCGGUGGCUUAACCAACAGAAAUCUAUUCUCUUACAAUUCUGGAGGUAUGAAAUUAAAAAUGAGUCUCACUGGGCUACCAUCAAGGUGUUGGCUGUGUUCCUUCUAGAGGCUCAGGGAGAAUCUGUUUCCUUGCUUGCCCCCUCUUCUAGAGGCCACCUGCACUUAAAAGCUUUUUCCCACUUUGGUGUCUUGAUUCUUUUUUUUUUUUUUUUGAGACAGAGUCUUACUCUGUCACCUAGGCUGGAGUGUAGUGGUGCAAUCUCAGCUCACUAUAACCUCUGCCUCCCAGGUUCAAGC
rnacentral:lncRNA from 10 species